rnacentral:piRNA from 1 species
UGUCACUGUGAUAUUGAAGUU